CGCUGACGAGCGGCGGACGGGUGAGUAACGCGUAGGAAUCUGCCUGAUAGUUGGGGAUAGCCCAGGGAAACUUGGAUUAAUACCGAAUACGCUCUACGGAGGAAAGCAGGGGAUCUUCGGACCUUGCGCUAUCAGAUGAGCCUGCGUGAGAUUAGCUAGUUGGUGAGGUAAUGGCUCACCAAGGCGACGAUCUCUAGCUGGUCUGAGAGGAUGAUCAGCCACACUGGGACUGAGACACGGCCCAGACUCCUACGGGAGGCAGCAGUGGGGAAUAUUGCACAAUGGGCGCAAGCCUGAUGCAGCCAUACCGCGUGUGUGAAGAAGGCCUUAGGGUUGUAAAGCACUUUCAGCAGUGAGGAAAGGGGUGUAGUUAAUACCUGCAUUCUGUGACGUUAACUGCAGAAGAAGCACCGGCUAAUUCCGUGCCAGCAGCCGCGGUAAUACGGAAGGUGCGAGCGUUAAUCGGAAUUACUGGGCGUAAAGCGCGCGUAGGUGGAUUGGUCAGUCAGAUGUGAAAGCCCCGGGCUCAACCUGGGAACUGCACCUGAUACUGCCAAUCUAGAGUACGGUAGAGGGUAGUGGAAUUUCCUGUGUAGCGGUGAAAUGCGUAGAUAUAGGAAGGAACACCAGUGGCGAAGGCGACUGCCUGGACCGAUACUGACACUGAGGUGCGAAAGCGUGGGGAGCAAACAGAAUUAGAUACCCUGGUAGUCCACGCCGUAAACGAUGUCUACUAGCCGUUGGGGGGACUUGAUCCUUUAGUGGCGCAGCUAACGCGAUAAGUAGACCGCCUGGGGAGUACGGCCGCAAGGUUAAAACUCAAAUGAAUUGACGGGGGCCCGCACAAGCGGUGGAGCAUGUGGUUUAAUUCGAAGCAACGCGAAGAACCUUACCA
rnacentral:rRNA from 1 species